rnacentral:rRNA from 1 species
UACGGAGGAUGCAAGCGUUAUCCGGAAUUAUUGGGCGUAAAGCGUCCGCAGGUGGUGGUUCAAGUCUGCUGUCAAAGCGUGGAGCUUAACUCCAUACAGGCAGUGGAAACUGAAUGACUAGAGUUCGGUAGGGGUAGCGGGAAUUCCCAGUGUAGCGGUGAAAUGCGUAGAUAUUGGGAAGAACACCGGCGGCGAAAGCGCGCUACUGGGCCGAGACUGACACUGAGGGACGAAAGCUAGGGGAGCGAAAGGG